rnacentral:rRNA from 1 species
UACGUAGGUGGCAAGCGUUGUCCGGAAUUAUUGGGCGUAAAGCGCGCGCAGGCGGUACUUUAAGUCUGAUGUGAAAGCCCACGGCUCAACCGUGGAGGGUCAUUGGAAACUGGGGGACUUGAGUACAGAAGAGGAAAGCGGAAUUCCACGUGUAGCGGUGAAAUGCGUAGAGAUGUGGAGGAACACCAGUGGCGAAGGCGGCUUUCUGGUCUGUAACUGACGCUGAGGCGCGAAAGCGUGGGGAGCAAACAGG